rnacentral:pre_miRNA from 1 species
AAUAAGUGCAGCCGUGGAUAUCCGUGUCCAACGUUUGACCGUAUGUCUUAUUUGAAAAUUUUGAAAAUAUUUAGUCACACAUAAAAUGUUAUUCAUAUUUUAUCAUCUAAUAGCAAUAAAAAUACUAAUUAUAAAAAGUUUUCAAAUAAGACGAACGAUCAAACGUUGAACGUGAAUAGUGCAAAACUGCACUUAUU